CGGGGGCCGAGUAGAGUGGCGCACGGGUGAGUAACACGUAGGUAAUCUACCUCUGGGUGGGGAAUAACAGCCGGAAACGGCUGCUAAUACCGCAUAACGCAGCGGCACCACAUGGUGACAGUUGUUAAAGCGGGGGAUCUUCGGACCUCGCGCCUAGAGAGGAGCCUGCGGCGGAUUAGCUAGUUGGUGGGGUAACGGCCUACCAAGGCAACGAUCCGUAGCCGGCCUGAGAGGGCGGUCGGCCACACUGGCACUGACAUACGGGCCAGACUCCUACGGGAGGCAGCAGUCGGGAAUUUUGGGCAAUGGGCGAAAGCCUGACCCAGCAACGCCGCGUGGAGGAUGAAGUUUUUCGGAAUGUAAACUCCGUAAGAUUGGGACGAAUAAGGAGGGGUUAAUACCCCCUUCGAUGACGGUACCAUUUGUAAGCCCCGGCUAACUCCGUGCCAGCGGCCGCGGUAAUACNGGGGGGGGCAAGCGUUGUUCGGAUUUACUGGGCGUAAAGGGCGCGUAGGCGGCGCAACAAGUCACUUGUGAAAUCUCCGGGCUUAACUCGGAGCGGCCAAGUGAUACUGUCGUGCUAGAGUGCGGAAGGGGCAACUGGAAUUCUCGGUGUAGCGGUGAAAUGCGUAGAUAUCGAGAGGAACACCUGCGGCGAAGGCGGGUUGCUGGGCCGACACUGACGCUGAGGCGCGAAAGCCAGGGGAGCGAACGGGAUUAGAUACCCCGGUAGUCCUGGCCUUAACGAUGGAUGCUUGGUGUCCGGGG
rnacentral:rRNA from 1 species